UAUUCUUUAUAUCUUACAGGCAAAAAAGAUACAACCCAUGAGUGCUUACUUUUUCGGGUUGUACCUUUUUUGCCUGUAAGCCAUAAAGAGUA